AUUGAACGCUGGCGGCAGGCCUAACACAUGCAAGUCGAGCGGAGCGGCGGACGGGUGCGUAAUGCCUAGGAAUCUGCCUGGUAGUGGGGGAUAACGUACGGAAACGGGCGCUAAUACCGCAUACUAUCAGAUGAGCCUUGGUCGGAUUAGCUAGUGGGGGGGGUAAAGGCCUACCAAGGCGACGAUCCGUAACUGGUCUGAGAGGAUGAUCAGUCACAUUGGAACGGAGACAGGGUCCAGACUCCUACGGGAGGCGGCAGUGGGGAAUAUUGGACAAUGGGGGAAAGCCUGAGCCAGCCAGGCGGCGGGUGGAAAGAAGGUCUUCGGAUGGUAAAGCACUUUAAGUUGGGAGGCGUUACCAACAGAAUAAGCACCGGCUAACUUCGUGCCAGCAGCCGCGGUAAUUC
rnacentral:rRNA from 1 species